rnacentral:misc_RNA from 1 species
GUACAAUUUUAAUAUUUUGAAUCGUCUAGAAUGGAAAAAACUGCUUUUGCAUGCAAACCCUUUGAUGAUUGUAUGUCGAAAGGUAAGAAAUUCUCAGUAAAAUUCUCUAUAUUGGAAUAUGUAUACAUAGAUAUUAUAGUGGGUCACUUCUAUAUAAUUUUUUGAUUUGAUUUGAAUUUCCAGCCCAAUGCAACGUCAGGGAUGGGCGUUG